CUUCCAAAAAACCUCAAAAGGUUGAUACUUAGUGGGACUUUUCUUCCGUGGGAGGACAUGUACAUUAUUGAAAGGUUGCCAAACCUCGAGGUUCUCAAGCUCACAAAAUUUGCCUUCAGCGGUCCAAAGUGGAAACUUGAAGAUGGCAGCAAGUUUGGGUGUUUAAAGCUCUUGCUUAUUGCAUAUUCAGGUCUAGAAUACUGGGAAGUAACUCAUAAAAAUUUCCCAAUCCUAGAGCGCCUAAUCCUAAAAGUUUGCUGGGACUUGAAAGAAAUCCAAAGUGAUUUUGAAAAUAUCAGUACACUAAAACUAAUACAGCUAGACAAUUGUUAUUCUUCCCUUGUGGAAUCUGUAAAGAAAAUUAAAGAAGAUAUCGUGAUUUAUGGAGGCACACUUGUUAUUCGUGAUCUUGAAACUAAGGUCGAUCUCCUAUUCCCCUUCCUUUAUAAUGAAAUAUUGGUCUUAGUCCUCUAUUAUAUUUUAUGAAUUCUUUUUGUUUUUUAGGAAAAUCCCUCAUUCUUAUGUCUUUCAUUUUUAUUUUUUCUCAUUGUAAACUGCUUUUCUAGGAUGGAUUGCCUAAUAAUAAAAAAAUCUCUAAGGAAAUGGGAGCUGUGAUGAUGGAAAUGGAUUAGAAAAUGGAAGCUAUUGUGGGAGAUGAAGAAGCUACGAUGGGAGUAGAUGAGAACUUGAUGAUUCUAUGAAUGAUUAAAACCGGUGUAAGCUAAGGUACAAGAAGAAUUCAAUAUUACUGAAGUCUUGCAAUGCCAGACAAAUCCUCAAGAAGCUGCAAGUCCAUUGUUAGCAAAUUUCUUUCUAAUCUCGUCUUGAUUUAAGUUUUGUGUGUUUUUCCUCUGCUGUUCUUGAAUGUUCAGACUCUCCUGCCACAGACAUUCAUUGUGAUUGUUAUCUAUGUUAGUAUGUAUAUUGUAAUUAUAGUCUGAUGUUCAUGUAAAAAAUUCUAUAUCUCAAGAAUUAGUUAGUCUGUAUUAGAACUAAGAUUGAAGAUUAUUCCCACUAUUUCAUAAAUCUUUGAUUUUGAAAAGGAUGUGAUAUUAAAUUUCUCUA